rnacentral:rRNA from 1 species
GUUAUCUAAAAUUGAAAGAAUUUGUAUUCACGAAACCAAGCGAGCUAAAUCUUUUCUAUAUUAGAGGAUAAUUUUAGUGUAGCAAUACUAAUAAACUAUAAGAAUUUAGGGGUGAUAGGCCUUUCAAGUCUGGGGAUAUCUUGAUUAUAAGGAAAUAUAUUAAGUAUAACUUACAACUUAAGAAUGUUAAGGUUUUUAGGGAGCAUAUAAGAAAAUAUUUGAUAUAAUUAGCUGAAUAUGUAAAAACUACAGAUUUAAUUUAAUUUAACAUAAAAUAUUAUAUAUAUAUGUAAAGUACUUAUAUUUUUUUAUAUAAUAUAAAUAAAAGAAAAAAUGAUUACAUUAGUAUAAUUAUUAAUUUUUUUUAAGGAACUCGGCAAACUUUUUCUCGACUGUUUAACAAAAACAUUGCCUUAAGAAAGUAUUUAAGGUUUUCCCUGCUCAAUGAUAAACUUAAAUAGCCGCAGUACCCUGACUGUGCAAAGGUAGCAUAAUCAGUUGGCUUAUAAUUGAAGUCUAGUAUGAAUGGGAACUCGGGUAGAAGCUGUCUUAAAAUAAAAAAUUGAAAUUACUAAUUAAGUGAAAAUUCUUAAAAAUUAGAAAAAAGACGAGAAGACCCUAGAAAUUUGUUAUAGUAUUGUAAUAAAAAUUAUUUUGUUGGGGCGACAUGGUAGCAAUAUUAAACCUACCAGAAGUUUAAUAUGAAACUAAUUAGUUGUACAAUUAAAUUACUCUAGGGAUAACAGCAUUAUUUUAUAUAAAGAUUGUGACCUCGAUGUUGGACUAGGAAAUAUUUUACUUAAAAGGUAAAUUAGUAAGCUCUGUUCGAGCUAAAUUACCUACAUGAUCUGAGUUCAGACCGG